rnacentral:rRNA from 1 species
UACGUAGGGUGCAAGCGUUGUCCGGAAUUAUUGGGCGUAAAGAGCUCGUAGGCGGUCUGUCACGUCGGCUGUGAAAACCCGAGGCUCAACUUCGGGCUUGCGGUCGAUACGGGCGGGCUAGAGUUCGGUAGGGGAGACUGGAAUUCCUGGUGUAGCGGUGAAAUGCGCAGAUAUCAGGAGGAACACCGGUGGCGAAGGCGGGUCUCUGGGCCGAUACUGACGCUGAGGAGCGAAAGCGUGGGGAGCGAACAGG